rnacentral:rRNA from 1 species
AUUGAACGCUGGCGGCAUGCUUUACACAUGCAAGUCGAACGGUAACAGGGAGCUUGCUCCGCUGACGAGUGGCGAACGGGUGAGUAAUGCGUCGGAACGUGCCGAGUAGUGGGGGAUAACGCAUCGAAAGGUGUGCUAAUACCGCAUACGUACUGAGGUAGAAAGUGGGGGACCUUCGGGCUUCACGCUAUGCGAGCGGCCGACGUCCGAUUAGCUAGUUGGUGAGGUAAAGGCUCACCAAGGCGACGAUCAGUAGCGGGUCUGAGAGGAUGAUCCGCCACACUGGGACUGAGACACGGCCCAGACUCCUACGGGAGGCAGCAGUGGGGAAUUUUGGACAAUGGGCGCAAGCCUGAUCCAGCCAUGCCGCGUGUCUGAAGAAGGCCUUCCGGUUGUAAAGGACUUUUGUCCGGGAGCAAAUGCCUGGUGUUAAUAGCACUGGGAGCUGAGAGUACCGGAAGAAUAAGCACCGGCUAACUACGUGCCAGCAGCCGCCGUAACAC